rnacentral:tRNA from 1 species
CUUUAGCUCAGUUGGUUAGAGCACCUGACUCUUAAUCAGGGUGUCCAGGGUUCGAGUCCCUGA